CUCGUGCCCGGCGUGUCCCCGCACCCGGCGGCCCUGGGGCGGGAGAGGGGCGAAGACGGGCGGGCAGGGGGCGCGGGAGGCGCCACCGCCCCGACGUGUCCCGAUGGGACCGGCCGUGCCUGUCACACCCGGUGCGGGUGAUCCGGCACUUCCCGGCGUCGGGUGAUUUCCCGGUGCAAUUUGGACGAGGACAAGUGGGUACAAAUUGAAAGAGGGGAAGUUUAGGUUAGGUGUUCUUAAAGAAUUCUUUACUGUGAGGGUUGGUGAGACACUGGCACAGGUUGCCCAGGAAGGUUGUGGGUGCCCCAGCUCUGGCAGUGUUCAAAGCCAGCUUGGAUAAGGCCUUGAGCAGAUGAGUCAAGUGGGAGGUGCCCCAGCCCAUGGCAGAGGGGGUUGGGACUAGAUGAUCCUUAGGGUCCCUUCUAACUCUUGAUUCUGUGUGGGGUUUUUUAAAAGAAAAAAAAGGAAAUGCUCAACAAGGUCACAUCCUGGCGUUGCCCAGGUUGGUUACUGGAGGGUUUCAAACCCGCUGUUGAUCUUGUCUGUUGCAGUCACUGCAUGCAUGGGCAUGGAAAGAGGGGGUAAAUGGCAGUUUUGCUGUAGAUCUUUCAGGAAUAUUGCAAGUUGGGGCACAUUUGUCCAGUCAGGCUGUUGGAAGACACUGGGAAUUUUGGGGUCCCAGUCUCUGCUCUGAGGUCUCCUUGCUGUCCUUCCUGUGUAAUGGAAGGCAAACUCAAAUCCUGAGCCAAGUCUCUGGUCAAAAGUCGUGAGAUGAGUGAAGACUUCAUCUUUAAAAAUAGCAUCUUGAAAUAAUACAUUGUAUGUUACUUGGUUUAGAACCUGUAAUUUUUAUCUUUGGUAUGCUCAAGCUUUUCUCCAAAUCCCAAAGGGAAAUAACAAAACUUUUUUUUUCUCAAUGAAAACUGAGAUCAACAUCUAAUCAUCUUUUCUUCAGAGGCUUUUUUUUGAGGUUUUAGGAGCACCAACUUAGGUUAAACCAGGAAGUUUGGACAAUAGCACUUUCCUUUGAGUGGAACUUCGAAGAAGUCUGACUGAGGGAGAAUGCGGGCCCAAGACCAGUGGAGAAGUCUGUGAAGGGACAAAGUCCAUGAAAGAAUUGAAACCAGAGAAGGAGAUAAGACCAUGUGGGGGCCUGGCCAGUUGAAGUAGAUACCUUGGCCCUGUCUGGAGGCCUUAGAAGCAUUCCUGAGUUCUUCCUCAGUCCUCCUUCAUCACCGAAUCUGUAAUUCAGAAGUUUGGGUAAAGAUGACAGGAACAGUACAGAGAGCAGCACAGACCCUGUGAAGGCACCUGAAAGUGAACUCAAAAGAUCAAGACUAGGUUUCAGGAAGAGGAGGAUGGGUCAGAAAGUCCAGAUUCUGAAUAAUAGGAAGAAACUCUCAUUAAGGGCUUGGGUUAUUGGAUAAUAACCAUGUGAGGCUGCUUCAGUAGAGCUGAGAUAUUACAAAAUAUUAGAGAAACUCCUGGAGAGAUGGUUUAGCAGACAAAGCUGCAUGAUAAAGACUUAAAAUCCUUCUUUGAAAAAUCAGACCACAGAGAGAGAGAACGAAGCAGAAUAGAUAGUCAUGCAAUUAAGAAGAGAACCUGGGUCUGAGACACGACUGCUCAUUCUGUGGCUUUUGGUUGCAGGUGUGUGCCAUGGAGUCAGAACAGCAGUCCCUUCUGGAAAUGGCUUGGGAAUACCUCCUUGUAUGGAGGAAGCAAGAGCAUUUGUGAGAUUUUGAACACAAAAGAGUGAAAAAUGAAGUGCUAAAUCUGAGACUGUGGCUGUUAAAAUGAGCACCUGAACACCAGAGAGCAAAGAUUACUGCAUUGCCUAACAGACUGCUGCAGAUCCUCUGAGCCUUUUAUUUCCAGUAAUAAGAAAGAAAUCAAUGUGAGUCUCAAC